rnacentral:rRNA from 1 species
CAAUAGCGUAUAUUUAAGUUGUUGCAGUUAAAAGCUCGUAGUUGGAUUUCGGAUGUGAACGACCGGUCCGCCGUUGCGGUGUGCACUGGACGUUUGUAUCUUGUUGUCGGGGAGCGCGCUCCUGACCUUAACUGGGAGGGACGCGGAGUCGGCGCUGUUACUUUGAAAAAUUAGAGUGUUCAAAGCAGGCAACCGCUCUGAAUACAUUAGCAUGGAAUAACGCUAUAGGACUCUGGUCCUAUUGUGUUGGUCUUCGGGACCGGAGUAAUGAUUAAGAGGGACAGUUGGGGCAGUCGUUAUUCAUUUGUCAGAGGUGAAAUUCUUGGAAUUUAAUGAAAGUGAUCAGAAACUUCUAGCUGAAAUGCAAUUUGCCAAUGGACAUGUUUGUAUUAAUCAAGAACGAAAGUUGGGGCUCGAAGAUGAUCAGAUACC